UUGCACAAUGGGCGAAAGCCUGAUGCAGCGACGCCGCGUGAGGGAUGACGGCCUUCGGGUUGUAAACCUCUUUCAGCAGGGAAGAAGCGAAAGUGACGGUACCUGCAGAAGAAGCGCCGGCUAACUACGUGCCAGCAGCCGCGGUAAUACUUAGGGCGCGAGCGUUGUCCGGAAUUAUUGGGCGUAAAGAGCUCGUAGGCGGCUUGUCACGUCCGUUGUGAAAGCCCGGGGCUUAACCCCGGGUCUGCAGUCGAUACAGGCAGGCUAGAGUUCGGUAGGGGAGAUCGGAAUUCCUGGUGUAGCGGUGAAAUGCGCAGAUAUCAGGAGGAACACCGGUGGCGAAGGCGGAUCUCUGGGCCGAUACUGACGCUGAGGAGCGAAAGCGUGGGGAGCGAACAGGAUUAGAUACCCUGGUAGUCCACGCCGUAAACGGUGGGCACUAGGUGUGGGCGACAUUCCACGUCGUCCGUGCCGCAGCUAACGCAUUAAGUGCCCCGCCUGGGGAGUACGGCCGCAAGGCUAAAACUCAAA
rnacentral:rRNA from 1 species